rnacentral:misc_RNA from 1 species
UUCCAGAGGCACUUUCUCUGCUGGAUAUAUUUGGAGAACAAUCCUCUUGAACAGCAGAACAUAUGCUCAUACACUAGACAGGACGUAUACAACACACGUACACAAAUCAAUCGAUAGUAUUGCCAACAAACAACAACGACGGUCGAAAGAAUGCACUGGUGAGUUUUGGGAGUUUGGAAGAAUCAUCAUCAUGUCUUCUUAUAAGCUAUAAAUACGUUUGCUCUUUGUCUGGUGUUGGCUAGUUGAGUUGUGAAUGAAAAAGGUUCACGAACAGUAGUUUGGAAGUUAGUAAUGUAACAAUAAAUAUGUAUUGUAUUGUUAAGGUUCUGGAUACUGUAUGGUUAUGUUAUAUGGAGAUGAACUUGUGUUCAUCCUAAAGUUGUAUUUUGAUCUCUUCUGAUGUUUCAAAAAGGAUCAACUAAAUCCUUGUUUCACGACACUUCUGAACUGGAA